ACCUGCAGCUGCAGAUGAGCACCGCUGAAUCGCAUUCUUGCUGCUGAUUCCCUGUCUACGCGAACUCGAAUGAACAAUCAGCAGCUUUAGCACACUCACUUGCGGUGCAUUUGUGGCCACGUUUUGGUUGAUCAUGUAGCCGCAUGCCGCAUUGCUAAGGGGUUGUGUGUUUCCAUGCUUCGGAAUUCAUACAACACGCAGAGUUUACGUUGCUUUCACAAUAUCAGACCUCACGCACAUUAACAAUUAGGUUUGAGUUGCUGCGAGAGAGAGGCGACUGUAGAGCCAGAGUGAGGUUUGAGUGAGGAGAUAUAUUGGAGAUCCGCCUGAAUCUGCUCCUUAUUGAGCCCAUCCGAGUUCUGGAGAAGUGAAACGGCUGGAAUUGCGGUUGACAGGUGUUACUUACAUACAUAUAUAUAUAUAUAUAUAUGUAUAGACACAUACACACACACUCACCAUGAUGGCCUCAGCUUGAAGUCUCAAAUACGCAGUAGCAGAGCAAAAGCACCUGCUUGAGAAUGCCGGUGAGAGCUCCACAUUCUACACAGCGUUGGUUGGGUGACAGAGAUCGGGCCUCCAAGUAAUCUAGAGCAUUGUAACACUGAAGCCUUUAAAAUUGUAGAAAAAUAAAAAUUAGGUGCAAAUAACAGUCAAUUUCAUUUGUUUAGGGGUACAUGGUGGUAGAGUAAUAAGAUUAAAUUAGGGUUUUAAGCAUGGCAACUUCUGCCAAAACAUGUGAGUUCAAUAAAAGCAUUUGAAGCUAAGGACAAGUGACCAAGAAUUGAGAAUUAUGGAUGUAACAAAAAAAAGAUAGUAGAGGCAUUUGGCAUUAAUAGAAAAGGAGAGGACUUCAUUCAACCAAAGCAACCUCUAAUGAGUUGUUUAUAAAGGACUUUUUA